ACGGAAGGCAGCAGUGGGGAAUAUUGCACAAUGGGGGAAACCCUGAUGCAGCGACGCCGCGUGAGUGAUGAAGUAUUUCGGUAUGUAAAGCUCUAUCAGCAGGGAAGAUAAUGACGGUACCUGACUAAGAAGCACCGGCUAAAUACGUGCCAGCAGCCGCGGUAAUACGUAUGGUGCAAGCGUUAUCCGGAUUUACUGGGUGUAAAGGGAGCGUAGGCGGUACGGCAAGUCUGAAGUGAAAUCCCAGGGCUCAACCUUGGAACUGCUUUGGAAACUGUCGAACUAGAGUGUCGGAGAGGUAAGUGGAAUUUCUAGUGUAGCGGUGAAAUGCGUAGAUAUUAGGAGGAACACCAGUGGCGAAGGCGGCUUGCUGGACGACAACUGACGCUGAGGCGCGAAAGCGUGGGGAGCAAACAGGAUUAGAUACCCUGGUA
rnacentral:rRNA from 2 species